rnacentral:rRNA from 1 species
UACGGAGGAUCAAGCGUUAUCCGGAAUCAUUGGGUUUAAAGGGUCCGUAGGCGGUUUAGUAAGUUCAGUGGUGAAAGCCCAUCGCUCAACGGUGGAACGGCCAUUGAUACUGCUAGACUUGAAUUGAUAGGAAGGUAACUAGAAUAUGUAGUGUAGCGGAUGAAAUGCUUAGAGAUUACAUGGAAUACCAAUUGCGAAGGCAGGUUACCUACUAAUGGAUUGACGCUGAUGGACGAAAGCGUGGGGUAGCGAACAGG